AGCAACCCCUGCCUGGGCUCAGACCCCCAGGACCUCUUCUCCACGGCCUCACGCCUUGCCCACCACUGCAGAGCGGCAGCAUCAGGCUAAGACGCCACUGCCACCCUGCCGAGUGAUGCCACACCGAGGGAGGACUCCGACGCCGAGGAGGAUUGGUUGACACUGAAGGUCAUAUCGGAAUCGCUAUCAUCCUGGGAGCCGC